CUCUCCUACAACGGCGAGAGGGCGCUCCCCUCUCUUUCGACGUGCGCGGUACCCGAGCCUCGGAAAUUCUGAAAGCGGUUCGCGCCUGUGCAACUCGCGCGGGGGUGGCAAGGGACCGAAAAUCGAGGUGAAAGGAAACUCCGCGGAUCCGGCCUAAGGGUCUCUCCUAGGGCUGGUGCGUAUUCGGUUCUGGGUAGAAUUUUUCGACGUGCGUCGUUGAGUAACGACGUGUGCUCGCCUGAUUAAAAGAAACACCUGCGUUCGUUCGUCAUUGACGAGGAGGGACGGAUCAUAAAAUAGCAAAGUACGAACGCGUCGCGUUGCCGCGUCUCUGGCCCCGUUACUUGAUUCGCGAGUACGCGUAAACACGCACACAGGUACGCGCUUAGUCGCGUUCGUUGUGGGCAAAUCGGUGUGUGACCACAGUGACACAUCACGAUACAUUCGGAUUUACAUAUCUCAUCCGUGGCUCUUUCGGUUCUACCUCCGUUUUUCGCGACCCUAUCGUGUGUGUGUGCUUGACCCGAGGACGUCGUCGCGCGAGAGAUAAGCUCUUCUCACGACGGUGAACAACGAACAACGAACCGAGGGACGAACGAGUGGAGAAACAGAGAGAGAGAUAAAGAGAGAACAUUUACACGAGACCUCUGAUACCCCAACGACGACUACGGCGGUGGAAUCGUUCGAUCGCUGUGGUGGUGGUUUCUUCCUCGCGUGACACACUUUUGUCGUCAGAGAAGAGAAGCUCUUCUUCUUUGCCAGAUUUAACGCGAAUCAGGGAACACUAAGGUCGAGACUUGUUCGUCGACGUAUAUCCGUCAGUAAGUGCGAGAAUUCCAUCGUAAAAUCCUCUCAGUGAUAGUUUGCUUCUUUUGUGUAUCGUGAAUGUGCAGCUGUGAAUCAGUGAUCGUUUGGAAGAAAGGAAAAGUUUUUUCUUGGUGUUUUUGACUGAGAGAAAGGAACCGUUGUCGUUUCCUUCUUUCUUUUUUGUCUCAUUCUCGUUGCUCGCUUCGGAUAAAUUACGUCACAAGAAGAGGCAACAUCUGAUCGUGAUCGAGUGACUCGAGUAAAAAUCGUGAUUGUUGAGUGGUUACGCCGUGCCAUUUGCGAACUCGCCAGGAUUUUCCAUUAAAGACCAGUGUGGAUCGUAAGUCCCGAAUACGGGGGUAUCAUGUAUCCCCGAUUGCAGCCCUCCUUUGAGGGUUAAAUUCUCGCCGAUUUCAACGUCUCGGCUUCGCCGUCUCGACUUAAUCCUGCGCUACCGUGUAAUUGUGUACUCUGGAACUAGACCGAACUACGUCUUCUUAAGGACUACCCGAUUUCGGCGCAAAGAGCUGGUCUCACUGAGGACUAACCGUGUACCACAUCCCCGCGCUGAAAGAGGAUUCGAAACCUCGCAAGGAUGCGGGACCGGCUAUCGUGGUACAUGGUCUUUUUGAUCCUGCCGACAAUUCUCCUGGCCAGGUCGCUCGAUAAAGAUCGACGCGUUCCUUACAGCAUACCGGCAGACUGGAAGGCGUUGUGGUUCAGUAACCUGGACGAUCUGCAAAGAGUAAAUGAUGCGAACGAUAACAACACCGUCUCGAACGUCACGGUGCAGUUGGGUGGAACCGCGUUUUUGCAUUGCAAAGUUCGAAAUUUGGCAGAUAGAACGGUAUCCGACGCUGAGAUAUCCUGGAUACGACGACGUGACUUCCACGUCCUGACCAGCUCCACGUUCACGUAUACGAACGACGAGCGGUUUCAAGUUUUGCAUCCCGAAGGCUCGGACGACUGGACUCUUCAGAUCAAGUAUGUUCAGGACAGAGACAAUGGGACCUACGAGUGUCAGGUCGCGAGGAGUACAGGGAUACUAUCACACUUUGUCAAUCUAAACAUAGUUAUACCAGAAGCAUUUAUAUUAGGAAGCGGUGAACAUCACGUGGACGUAGGAUCCAUUAUAAACCUCGUAUGCAUAAUAGAAAAGAGUCCAACACCGCCGCAAUAUGUUUUCUGGUAUCACAAUAAUCGAAUGAUAAAUUACGAUACUACGCGAGGCAGCAGCGUAACCGUACAAACCGAUUCCAGCUCGACUCAAAGUCGACUGACGAUUCACCAUGCGGUGGAAUCGGACACAGGCAAUUAUACGUGCAGCGCCUCGAAUACCAAGCCGGCAUCCAUCUAUGUCUUUGUCACAGAAGGUGACAAAAUGGCUGCGAUACAGCGCCGCAAGACGUCGGCCGCCGAGAAAAAUUUCUGUGAAUUGCUAGUACUAAUUGUCACCAUUGCGAUAGAGGUCGUUUUAACGCGAUAAGCGUUUCUCUUCGAUAUGUCCAUAAUUAUUAUACCGUUACUUCCGUUUGUGAUAGAUAGGCUACUAUUCUGCGAUUUUAACCCUCUAUUCACACUUUCCUUCUUUCCCUUUUAAAAGCUGAAGACAUCGUCGUACCACGCGAUCUUUUAUUUCUCUCUUUGUUCAUCCUUCCUAAUCCUUUGUCUCGUUAUCUCUAUUUCCAUAUAUCAUCAUUGUCAUCUUUGUUUCUCUUCUUCUUCUUCUUCUUCUUCUUCUUCUUCUUCUUCCUUUUGCUCUUUCUUUUCUUCUUCUUCUUUACUACGUUCAAUUAGCCGCGAUCGAACAAUCGUUAAGUCUUAUCAUGUUUUUCUUCAUGAUAAUUUUUUUCUUUUCCGUUUCAACGCCGAGGUUGCCGCCGGCUGAAUCAUUUCGACAUACGAGAUUUUCAUGGUAGAUCGUGUCCAUGUGUUCACCAACGCAUGACCGAAAUUAUAAGAAUACUCGCGAAUAAUCGCGAUUUCUCUCUCUUUCUCUUUCUCUUUUAUCUCUCUUCCUGUCCAUUCCCUAACUUCUGGUUGCGUCUGUCACCUUCUGCAGAAGUAUAAAAUAAUUUUAAAUAACGCAAAUUCUUUCGUCCCGCGAGAGGACAACGUUCCGGAAAGUCAAAUUCUCCGUGACGGAUGAACGAAACGCGUGAUACAAAGUCACGCGAGAUACGUAUCGAACAGAAGCACUGUCUUAGUUAAUCCUCCAAGGAACGAAUCAAGUGCAAUAAAUUUAAAUUUCAUUGUUUGUACGGCGUACUUUACCAUCGAAGUCUUUUCGAAACCGGCGGCACACAUCGUUUCUCGGUAAAAAAAAAAAAAGAAGAAAGGAACGAAAAUCAAUUAGUCAUGAUAUUCCUCGAAAGCAAUAUGGAUCCAUGGAUCGCGUCAAGUUAGGUUUACGUACCGGGUUUAUCCUCUUAAAAAAAUUACAAUAGAUCCGUUUGAUGGUCGUGAGCAACAGUUCUACGUCGUGGCAGUUUUCUACAAAGUUUUGCGCCGCUUUCGUUGAACGAACGACGAUGAGAUAUUACGGCAACAGACACGAAUUAAUCAAAAGGCGGUGGGGAAUUAAAGUUUGAGAUUGACGGUGUUACCGAGUGUCGCAACGAAUUUGCAGGGCUUUACAUACCUUUCAACAACCUCCGGCCCUUCCGGUUCGAUUCUCGUUCUACGUUCUUGUAAUUAAUCACCUCUCAGGACGUUUCAAUUCCACUUUAUCCGACGCGAAUCUAGCCUACCUUUUGUAGUUUCGUACAUGCAACCUGUAAUCGCGAGAUCGAUACUCCAUGUGUGUACUUCUUGCGUUCUUCUUUGUGAUUAAUAUCGUUGCUACAUAUACAUGUUAUUACCACGACAAAUAUCGAAGAAAUUUCAUCGUUUAUGAAUAAUUUGUGUUAUUUUUCAAACAUUUACUCGAGAUUUUUAUGAACGAUCGAGAUCGAAUAUAAUGUUAUAUUCCUAAGUGUAACAGCCGAGGUAAAUAAUAUAGAGUUUAAAACAAUGAAUGUAAAAUGUAUCAAUACGGUAUUUCCAACAUAUCGACGUCGUUUCUAUUUCCGUUUUGGUUUUGAAACGCAACUGCCAAAAUUCAGUAUUCCAUGCCAACUCAUCCUAAGGUGCUGCUACACGAAUAACUGUACAAAAUACUAUAUACUUUUAAUUAUUCCUCGUUUUAAAAUAAGCCUUGGAUAAAAAGAAAAGUAUUGCGAAGGAUAAAAAGAAAAAAGAACCUCGACAGAUUUUUUUACACGAUUUAUCACUAACUUUCGACUUCCUAGUAGAAACUGUUGUACACUUACCAACAUUUCGUCUGCAUUUGACAAUGAUUUUUAAGCAGCACAGAACGACGUUACAUAUCGUGAAAAACUAAAUCCUUGCCAUUGUUCUGAAAAGAUAAAAACCCAAUUAAGAGAGAGAAAAAAAAAAGAAAAGACGAAGGAAAGAAAUAGAAAGUCGCGUAAAUGGAAAAGCUUAAAUGCGGACGAAAGGUUAAAAACAGGGAUCAAACGACAAGUAUUAUACCUAGAAAUGUAACAGGAGAUGUUUGAUAAAAUCCAGGGCAAGCGAGAAACUGCCAUAUUGUUUGACGUAGCAAGACCUUCGGGCUGAAACGUUUCAUAAAUUUCGAUUUUACAACUGUUCGAAACAAAUCUGCGUACUAGUUAGAAACUCUGAAUAUAUAAUACAUAUAUAUAUAUAUAUAACGAAGUUUUCUUAUUCCAAGUAAACGAUUCACGUGAGCAGGAUCGCGUGCGUAUCGCGUGACACCGCUAUCGAUUGAAUAAAGAAACAUAGAGGAUGAACGGGGACUAAGGGAAGAAAGCAUAAUAAAAGAAGCCAGGACACACGAACUCUCGAUUCGAUCGAUUCAUUCAUUCGUUUCCUUGCUUUCACAUUGUGUAUCCAUCGUCGUAAAAAUUAUUUGCAGAACGAUGCCUUUCCCCGAGAAACUUUUCCAUUUCAUCUUUUAUGAUUUAAAAAAAUCCCAUUCAACUUCGAACACAUCGUUCACGCAAUAUUGAAGUAUAAGAGAGACCUCAGAAGCUAGUCGAUCGUAACUAUUUAAUAACUCGGAUCACGAUUUAUGAAGCUAGGCUAAACUAAAGAAGAGAAACGAUAUUGUAUGCGUUAAAAAAAAAAAUGAAGAAAAUGAAUAAUCGAAGGAACGAUAAGUCUUUGAGAACAUUCUUCGAUACAGUUUUGUCUGAAUCUUCUAGAGGAUAAACGAAAUACAAUACAAGUGCGAGAGAAAGAGAGAGCGAAAAAAAUAUUAUCUUGAUCUCUUUCGAAGUAAGCAACAAGUUUAAUAGAAACAUAAGAUCAGUAGGAUAAUAAACGAUAAGACUUUAAUACUCGAAAACAAUUCGAUCGCAAUUUUACGCGUUCUGCGUGUACAUCUCAAAACAUCGAUAGUGUAUCUGCCAUAGAAAAUCUCUGUGUACUUCAGCGUCACACUGUAUACAACUUCGUAUAAUGUUUUUAUAAAUUAAGUUUGUUGUAUGAAAAUGGAAGGAAAUCGACACGUUAUCGGUAAUUGAGUAUCAUUCGAUUCGUUCCUUUUUUUCUUUUUUUUUUUAAUUAAGAUAGGCGUUUGCGUAAAUCGAAACACCGACACACGUAUACACACACACAUACAAACACAUGGUGAAUGAAAAGACAAAAAAAGGAAAGAAAAUUUCGUACGUUGCUUAACGUUCGCCCGCCUUCUUACGAAUCUUUGUGUCCUUUUAUUUCGAACAUUUAUCCGCAAAUCCGUUGAAACUGAAUUUUAAUAAAAUCCACAAUAUAAAA